rnacentral:rRNA from 1 species
UGCAAGUCGAACGUGAAACCCGAUGCUUGCAUUGGGGAGUAAAGUGGCGAACGGGUGAGUAACACGUUGGUGACCUGCCCCGAGGUGGGGGACAACUGUGGGAAACCACAGCUAAUACCCCAGAUGUUGAGGAGUCUAGACGACCUUAACUAAAGUUCCGACGCCUCGGGAGGGGCCUGCGGGCUAUCAGCUUGUUGGUGGGGUAACGGCCUACCAAGGCUCAGACGGCUAGGGGGCGUGAGAGCGCGACCCCCCACAAUGGAACUGAGACACGGUCCAUACUCCUACGGGAGGCAGCAGUGAGGAAUAUUGCGCAAUGGGGGAAACCCUGACGCAGCAACGCCGCGUGGAUGAUGAAGGCCUUCGGGUUGUAAAAUCCUUUUCUGAGGGACGAUAAUGACGGUACCUCAGGAAUAAGUCCCGGCUAACUACGUGCCGGCAGCCGCGGUAAAACGUAGGGGGCGAGCGUUAUCCGGAUUUAUUGGACGUAAAGCGCGCGUAGGCGGCACUGUAAGUUGGGCGUGAAAGCUCUCGGCUUAACUGAGAGAGGUCGUUCAAAACUACAGUGAUUGAGGUUGGAAGAGGAGAGUGGAAUUUCAGGUGUAGUGGUGGAAUGCGUAGAUAUCUGAAGGAACACCAGUGGCGAAAGCGACUCUCUGGUCCACACCUGACGCUGAGGUGCGAAAGCGUGGGUAGCGAACGGGAUUAGAUACCCCGGUAGUCCACGCCGUAAACGAUGGAUACUAGGUGUAGGAGGUUAUUUACCCCUUCUGUGCCAAAGCAAACGCGUUAAGUAUCCCGCCUGGGGACUACGACCGCAAGGUUAAAACUCAAAGGAAUUGACGGGGGCCCGCACAAGCAGCGGAGCGUGUGGUUUAAUUCGAUAUACGCGAAGAACCUUACCUGGGCUUGACAUGUUGGUAGUAGUGAAGCGAAAGCGGAACGACCCUUCGGGGAGCCAUCACAGGUGCUGCAUGGCUGUCGUCAGCUCGUGUCGUGAGAUGUUGGGUUAAGUCCCGCAACGAGCGCAACCCUCGUCGUUAGUUACAAGUGUCUAACGAGACUGCCGGUUUCAAACCGGAGGAAGGUGGGGAUGACGUCAAGUCAGCAUGGUCUUUAUGUCCAGGGCUACACACACGCUACAAUGGGCGGUACAAUAGGUUGCCACACCGCGAGGUGGAGCUAAUCCUCAAAGCCGUCCUCAGUUCGGAUAGCAGUCUGCAACUCGACUGCUUGAAGGUGGAGUUGCUAGUAACCGCGCGUCAGCAUAGUGCGGUGAAUGC